rnacentral:snoRNA from 1 species
ACGACCUUACUUGAACAGGAUCAGUUCUAUAGGAUCGUACCGUUGCAUCCUUGACUAAUAAGGAGGCAAGCACUUAAGCCUGAUUGAUGAGGCAAUGACCUGUGGGCCAGAGCGUGAUUAACGGCUGGGAUUGGCUCUGUUCGCUGGGUCUUGUGUUAUAGAGGAUGGUUCCUGGCCAGGCCAUGCUUGUCUUGUCUCGAAGUCUGGGUGGCCCAUAGGUUGUCUGACAGGCU